rnacentral:rRNA from 1 species
CCUACGGGUGGCAGCAGUGAGGAAUAUUGGUCAAUGGGCGGAAGCCUGAACCAGCCAAGUAGCGUGCAGUAUUCCGUCCCUACUUUUUUUAACCUGCUUUUAUACGGGAAUAACGCGCCUUACGUGUAGGGCUUUGCAUGUACCGGAUGAAUAAGGACCGGCUAAUUCCGUGCCAGCAGCCGCGGUACUACGGAAGGUCCGGGCGUGAUCCGGAUUUGUUGGGUUUAAAGGGAACGUAGGCCGCAUGUCAAGCGUGCUGUGAAAUGUCCGGGCUUAACCCGGGCCUUGCAGCGCGAACUGGCGUGCUUGAGUCCGCGGAAAGCAGGCGGAAUUCGUCGUGUAGCGGUGAAAUGCUUAGAUAUGACGAAGAACCCCGAUUGCGAAGGCAGCUUGCUGCAGCGGAACUGACGCUGAUGCUCGAAAGCGCGGGUAUCGAACAGGAUUAGAUACCCGGGUAGUC